UAUAGUUCAGUUGUUAGAGCAUGUGCUUAGCAUGCACAAGGGCCUGGGUUCAAUGCCCAAUA
rnacentral:tRNA from 1 species